rfam:Bombyx mori DNA, contig: Bm_scaf33_contig20201, strain: p50T/Dazao, build 2, whole genome shotgun sequence.
UUCAUUCAGAUUCGUAUGGAGUUGGAAUUUUUGCCUACGUUUGCCGCUAGGGGCGCUGUUCCAACUGCAUACAAAUUUGAGUUA